UGGGUGUCUCAUGUUCUUAUCUCUUUGUCUUACCUGGGGCUUUAGACCUUGGGUCAGCCAGGGUUAUAGCAAGGGAUGCCUUCUUCAUCAAAGCCUGUGUUUGUCUCAGAAAAUGAUACCUCUGUGUAAGUUCAAGGGAAUAAUUUAGCUCUUUUUUCAACUUGGGCUUAUUUCUGAAAUGUAGCACAACACCCACAAGAUGGAGAAAAUAGAGUGGUUGAGGGAGUGGGAGAAAAAAAGAACAGCUUGGUUGCAAGGUUGGCAUCCUUGCUUGGGUGUGGCGUGGAAUGAGAGAACCUCUGAAUCCAUGGCCACAACCCUGGGCAAGGCAGCGAAGUUGUUUUAAAAACAAGCAAGCGGACAAAGAGAAAACAGGAGGUUUGACCAGUAAAUCCUAUGGACUCUUCUUAAGAAAUGCUGCUAAACAAAACUAUGAAGUCAUAAUGAAAGCAACAUUCCCCAUCUGCCCCAUAUUUUUCCUUAACACAUUCUAGGGUCACUGUGCUUAGGAGCAUGUCACAAAAUACUGUGUCACGCUGUCUGUGGUCAGUGUUGGGUGUCAACUUGAUUUUGACGAGACUGGGAUGAAAAAGGGAAGCUGGACGUAGGCGACUUCAAUCCCCAGCCGCAUCUCUCAGCACACAUCUGCGGCACCAGAAGGCACCUUUAUGUAGCCUUGGCUGUAUUUUUCAGUUUUGCAGGGCUUCCUGGAAUGUCAGGGAAUAUAAUAGACAUAUCAAAUUGAAGAAAUGUUGAGUUAUUUAAAACUCAAAUGUGGGCUUGUGGGGUAAUUCUUAUUCUCUAUCUUUCUCUCUUUUUUUCUUUCUUUCAGAAAUUCAGGGCAGGAAACAGGAAAGCAAGGCUCAGAUGAUAGGACUGUGAACUUGCAUUUUGACUUCUCCUCUGACAUGACUGUUGGCCAGUCUUAGGAUUAAUAGCUUUGUAGCCUGUUGUAGGGAGAAGUGUUUUUUCCUGCUUUGCUCCUGAUUCCUGGUGGAGCAACGUCACUAGCACUGCAGUUGUAGCCGCCUCUACCUAUCAUGCAAGUUUUCUAGAGGGAAAUGUGACCAUCUCAGUGGGGAUUUGAGAUGGAGAAACCAGGCGUGUACAGUUCAAUUCCACCCUUUCCCCUUUUCCUUGGAGCAAAUGUGCCUCCUGAGCACAUCCACCCUUGUGUCUGUGGUGGGUUUCACAGUAAAGGUUGAGAAGAUCUCUGGUUACAGUUUGGGAGGGGAAGUCUGUAUGUUUUGGAGCACUUAAAGAAAACCACUUCCUUGCAGAUGCACGCUAACUCCUCCAGUAUCCUCUUUGUUAGAAUAAAGGUGGUAUAGUGUAUAUAUUUUUCUACUAGCCUUAUGAUAUUGUUUUAUUUCUCAAUUGGUUCAGAAACCUCUCUAAGGACAAGAAGUAUUAUUUAUUGAGCCCCUUCGUGCCUCAAGACAGUUGUUCAAUUCAGUGUAAUGUCAAGUACCCAGAGAGCAGCGGUGUGGGAUUCAGAAAGGAUGAAACAAAGCAGACAACUUGUUGGCAUGUGCAAAGGCGGUUAGAGUUGGGUGACUUUAACCUAGAGCAGGUGAGGAGGUGGAAAGAAUAUAGACUUCCCUCUGAGCCCAAUGUGUAAAAUGACAUGUGGACAAUUCCUGAAAAGAAACACUCUGCUUUGUUAUCCACUUGGCGUGAGACUGACCAAUAAACAUGGCUCGUAUUUAUGAUAAGGUACAUUAAUUAUCAGCAUGUGCUUUCUUUUCAUUUAAUCCUUACCGCCAGCCUAUAAGACACGUGCUCUCGUUGCCCAUUUUACAAAUGAAGAAAUGAAAACAGAGGUUAAGAAAUUUGUGUCAGGUCAUAAAUGGCAACUCUGUAUUUGCCUGGUAAAUGGCAGAGCUGGGACCUACUGCAAGUGGACUGUCCACCUUGGACUCUAGAACUCUCUUACUCCAACCCUUGUAUGAACUCUGUGCCUGUAAUUUGCAUUUGACUAUGCUGUUUUCUCUACUUUUCCCCCCAGAGGUUAUGAAAAGUGGUUCAAUUAUAGAUCCAAAUUGAAAUGCUCGCUAAAUCCUUAUUUUUUUUUCUUCCUGAAUACUCUUUGGCUGCUUUUGUCAGUACAGGAGCUGGAGAGCUUCCUGCAGAGAAAUGACAGGAGAAUUGAAAUUCGUAGGGAAAAAGUGAACCAAGCCAGGGACAUUAAGGAGCAGGACAAGAAAACUGAAAUAGAAAGCCAUCAACCAGGAUCCGGGAAUGGCACAGAACCUGGAAAUAGAAUUGGGAAAACUCCCGAAGAAAAGAGGUCUAUCACAGAGUGCUACAAGACUGCUAUACCCCUUUUGGGAAAGAAAGACAACUAUAUUUUGUUGGAUAAUGUUUUAUCAGAACAGCUUCAGAAGCAGAUUGAAAAAAAUUCUGGAGCAACAGCAGCAUGAAAAUAGGAUACCAGUUUCUAUGGCAUGUGUGUACUUUGCAGUAAAGAAUUCAUGGAAAACACAGCUGUCUUUUAGAGCCAUGUGGCUUGAAAACCAACCUUCAAGAUUUUACUGCUGGGAAGUUGCAUGUCAUUUUAUGCGCAUUGAGAAAAAGUAGACAAUAUGUGAUAUGAAUGCUGAGCUCACUGGAGACAAUGGCACAAUGAAGGUGCAGCACUGGAAGAUGAGUGCUACAAGUCUAAAGCAUGCUGAUUUUAGGAGUUCCACUGUGGUGCAGUGGAUUAAGGAUCAAGUAUUGAUGCAACUGUGGCAUAGGUCACAGCUCUGGUUUGGAUUUGAUCCCUGGCAUGGAAAUUUCCAUAUGCUGUGGGUGCCACUGAGAAAAAAACCCCAAAAAACAUGGCUAAUUUGAAACUUGGAAAAUCUAUGGAAGAAAUGUACUUGGAAGAUCAUCAGAAAUUGUUAGAUGUUGGAGUUUCCAUCAUGGCUCAGUGGAAAUGAAUCUGACUAGGAACCUUGAGGUUGCAGGUUUGAUCCCUGGCCUCCCUUGGUGAGUUAAGGAUCCGGUGUUGCCGUGAGCUGCGGUAUAGGUUGCAGACGCGCUCGGGUCCCUCUUUGCUGUGGCUGUGGUGUAGGCCUGUGUCUGCAGCUCUGAUUGGACCCCUAGCUUGGGAACCUCCAUAUG
rnacentral:lncRNA from 1 species